GAUGAACGCUAGCGACAGGCUUAACACAUGCAAGUCGAGGGGCAGCAUGAGGUAGCAAUACCUUGAUGGCGACCGGCGCACGGGUGAGUAACGCGUAUGCAACCUGCCCGAUACCGGGGUAUAGCCCAUGGAAACGUGGAUUAACACCCCAUAGUACUUUUAUCCUGCAUGGGAUGUGAGUUAAAUGUUCAAGGUAUCGGAUGGGCAUGCGUCCUAUUAGUUAGUUGGCGGGGUAACAGCCCACCAAGACGAUGAUAGGUAGGGGUUCUGAGAGGAAGGUCCCCCACAUUGGAACUGAGACACGGUCCAAACUCCUACGGGAGGCAGCAGUGAGGAAUAUUGGUCAAUGGACGUAAGUCUGAACCAGCCAAGUCGCGUGAGGGAAGACUGCCCUAUGGGUUGUAAACCUCUUUUAUAAGGGAAGAAUAAGUUCUACGUGUAGAAUGAUGCCUGUACCUUAUGAAUAAGCAUCGGCUAACUCCGUGCCAGCCGCCGCAGUAA
rnacentral:rRNA from 1 species